rnacentral:lncRNA from 1 species
CUUAUCUUGGCAAAGGAGGAAUGCUCACUAACAGGGAUGUAAACAAAUGUGUGCAUACACAUUUUUUGAAAUAAGAUUUUUAUGCUUGUUUUUCUGGGAUCUUUAUUUCAGCUCAUGAAACAUGGAACCAACACUUUACAUGUCACAGAUGGGAUAUAUUUAAAAGGGACUUUGGGAAUUAAGUCCCAGAAGUUAUAAACCACAAGGAGGAAGUGGUCCCCGAUGUCAAGUAGAGCCCCCUUUCCUGACCCUUUCCUACACCCAUCACCCCCAGCUGCUGCUCUUCACUGGUUCCCUCUCUUCACAGCUGGGGAAGUCUGGUGCAGGGGAUGGCUACUUUCUCACAUUCAGAGAUACUAGCACCAGGGUUAGCAUAAUGGCUACAUUUAUAUGGAAUCUUCAACAUCCCCAUCCUACUUGGUUUUCAAGAAAAUCUAGCAGUUUUAGUGAACUUCAGAGUGAUGGAUCAAAAUAGAUAUCUUGGCAAUGGUGGCAUAGCAAUGGUAAGAAAUAUGGGUUUUAACUAAUCCAAGUUCAAAAUGUAUGUUGGAAACAUUGCCCAAUCAUUUCGGAAUUUGACUCAAGACAUUACCAAUGUCUGGUGCAUGUAAUGUGAAACACUUAUUUGGGGAUUCAUUAGUCAAGAGGGCCGGAAUCAAUUAUACAUUAAACAUUGUUUUAUCAACAAGGAAAUAAUAGCCUUGAUUAUCUGAAAGAUGCUGACGCAUCUAGUGCUGAUAUGAUCUAUUAUGAGUAAAGCAUCCCGUGAAACAGAACUGGCUGUGGUGCUGUUCUCUUUCUGGUGGAUUGAAUCAAACCUAGGUUUUCUCACACAAGCUGGUAAACCCAAUCUGUAACAAAAACCCAGUCUAUUGACUGCUCUGAACAGCGAUGCGAAGUAAAUAGUGAAAAUACAUCAAAGACAUUUUUUUCACAAGAGAAAAACAGUACCGAAAGAUUGUUUGUUUAUUGUCUCACAGACAUUUGUCAUUAUCUUUCGUGAGUAUGGCCACAUUCAUAAACCUUUAUAAAACAAAAUAAAUGUGUACAUAAGUCAUUUAGCAGACACUCUUAUCCAGAGACUUACAGGAGAAAUUAGGGGUAAGAUUUUUCAACUAGUCAGCUCAGGGAUUCAAACCAUCAACCUUUCAGUUACCGGCCCAACACUCUUAACCACUAGGCUACCUGCUACCCCAUUCAUGGCUUAUUGCAACGUCCAUAACUUUAUGCCAUGUCCCCUGGAUACACAGGUCAGUCUUCCUAGACAAAAUAAGCCAUGUGAAUGGCAACAUGUGUGGUCUGUGAUAAGAGUCCACUGUAUAUGUAGACAGGGAUGUCACACAACGAUUAAAGGGCUUUGGGAAAAGAGGUAAACUCAGAAUAUAACCUAGGAUUUACUCUGGACAUCAAAAAUAUAAAACACCUCAUCUGUUUUCAUACAUUUGUAUCAGUAUAAUGUCAAGUCAGAUAAUUCAUGGGCCCAACCUUUUCUCUCUCCAGAUUAUUAUCAAUAUGUCACAUCAUAGACCAUUGUUGGUUUCAUAGUUUUUAUAUUUUUUACAUGGAGUGUUAAGAAAAUGGUAGGCCUUUUGGAAAAUGUUGGUUUGGCACUACAUAAAAGGGAUAAAGGUCAAAGUAUUGAAUGAGUGAUUACAGCAUCUGUUGAAAUAACCGACAAAUGUUAAGACUUCUGAUUGGAACAAAGACAGUGGGAAAUGAUUAUAGGCUACACGAUGUCAAUGAGACUAAAACAAUCACAGGACAUCAGUGACACUGUGGUUCACGUUCUGGCUACUCUGUCACAAUAUUGAAGUCACUCCAUCGUGUUUGAACCCAAAAUAUAUUACGGGCAGAGCCUAUCCAACAUUUAUGAAACCUUGGCCCAAAAAAGGCAUAUCAAAUAUGACUCACCAGCCUUUUGCUUUUAUUGUCACUUAACAGGCCUUUCUGCAACACUUGCAAUCUAAUUCAAUAACCAUUGCAGUUUGUGCUGUAAAUCUUCAACAUGGCAUUUCACAGAGCUUUGAUCAAUACUUAUUUUGAGCAAAGAGACAAAAUCGAAACAAGGAAUUAUGAACCCAUUACUGACGAAUGGUGGUCAUUGUGAACAUGUCAAUGUUUGAUCACAAGAUAAAAACAUUUUAAUAACUAUAAAGAUGAAUAAACCUUGUGUGGAGCAUAAAUUAGGUAGUGUUCAUAUGUCAGCAUAGUGGAAAGAACUGGCUAUAGUGAUAAAAGUGAUGGAAUAAUAAUUUGAACAAAACCAAAAAAAAAUGUGUUCAUAUGACAAGACAGAUAGAUCUGGUUAAUGAUUUCUGACACUGAUAUUUUUAGACAACCAUAGCUUAUGAAAUUAACCCUUUCUCACAAUCCAAAACCAUUUCACACUUUUUAUGGGUCUCUGGAUGUGAACUGCUUGGAACAAUAUUGGCUAUUGGCAAAUUGCAUUUGAGAGGUUGUCACCAUUUAAACCUAUACAUAAGCUACAAAAUGUGUUUUUACGACAGCAUUUGAUACGGUAUUGUCUCCAGUGUUUUAAACUGCCAAUGGAAUGCUUUCAAACUGAACUUAUGCUGAAUAAAGUCAAUUAACUGCUACACAGCAAGCAUUCCUUAUUAGGUUUACACAGCACAUACAGUUUGGAACGACAUGAAGUGUACAGCACAUGAAGUGUUCAGUCAUUUGAACAAACAAGUGUAAACAUUUUGGCAAGCACUGUCAUGGUGGUCUGAACAAAAUACAGGCAUCAUUUAUGACAUCAGCCACGGACGACAAGCAAUUUCAGCAGUGCACUGGACUUGGAUAUCGUGCGUCUGAGCUGCAAUGUACUGCAGGUGUAGAUGUAGCCUAUAGUCUCUGCACAUCCUAAACCUGAGAUUUAACAUGUUAACAAGGCAGCACUCUGGGUAACGCCCCUCCCCCAUUUGGACCCUCAGAGAUAUACAUCCAUGGUAUUAAGGAUCAUAUGGCGGCAGAGUGGACAGUUCUGCUGGUAGACGGGCUGGCGUAGCAGUAUGUUAGUACAGUCCCGACACAGACACAGGUGGCGGCAGGGCAGCAGCACCACUGUCUUGGUGCUGUCCUGGCAGAUGACGCACUUCUUCCUCUCCUCCUGGUCCUUGAGCAGAGUCAGUAGGCUGUCGGCCGGGGGACCCUUGGAGCUGGAGCACUCCUCCCCCGAGGAGAGUUUCUGUAAAGGCCUGUCUGUGCUGCUAGAGCUGGGGAACGCUAGGUCCCACAGGUCAUCCAUUACCUGCCGUGGCCGGGCAGCAUGUUCAGCGGUUGGUGCUGCGUCUCCUUCCCUACUGUCCGUAAGAGCCCCCUGCUCUCUGUCACUGGGCUCAGAUUGCCUGGCGUGGCCAUCACCCCUCACUCUGAUGUUCCUGUAGACUGGUGUUAUCGUUUGGUGUAGACGGCUGGCCUGCUGCUGAAGCCUCUGCCACACGCCCCUCUCCAGCACGUAGAGGAGAUGGAGCGCCCUCUGUAUGAGAUGCAGGGUGGGGACAGAGUUGACAAAACCGAAGGCGCGCCGGACUCCAAGACUGGUCAGCUCAGGGUUCAUGUAGACUGUGGCGGUGACAACAAUGGUCGCCGUGAGAAUGAGGCCAUAGAUGUUCAGGAGGAAGACGUUGACGAAGAUGUGUCCGAGUGAGCCCAGGAACUCCAGGGCCAGCCUGAUGGGAGUCCAGAGAACGACUGAGGUGCCAACCAGGCUGCUGUACAGAAAGGUGAAGAGUGUGAGGGUGAGCUCCACAGCCUUCUGCAGGGGGCAGGAGACCGCCUCCCACAUGCUGACUACAACAGAGUAGACGUUCUGUGUCCCGAUGAGCAGCAGGUUGACCACCGUGUUGACCAGGUAGAACACCAGGCUGACCACAAUGCCACAGCCCUCCCACACCUGCUGCAGCAAGCAGUGGCCACACAGCAGCCCACGGUGGAACAGAUCCCUGACACGCAGGAGAACAUGUGAGGACAAGUAGCCCACCAUUUUGAAACUCUCCAGAACACCUCCCAAGAGGUGCAGCCAGCGCCCUAACAUGUUGACUGUGCCCUGGGCCAAAAGUGUUACGCUGUCCAUCAUGGUGACCAUGCAGAACACAGUGAAGUUCCAGCACUUCACAAUUGAGUUGGUCAGUAACAUGGGUAGGUUAUUCACAAAGGUGAUACAUGCCGCCAGGAGACGUAUCACUGAAUGGACUAUUAAGAAAUUUAGGUCCAGGAGUAAAGAUAUGAAAUUGAAACAUCUCCCAAUGGUGCAAAAGACAAGGUUCACCAGACCCAUGACAAAGGUUUUACUCGAGUUGCUUCACUGUCUUGAUAAAAUCACUUUUUGGUCUGGCCAGCAAAGGUUACACAUAGCUAGCUAGAUAAGGUUGGCAGAUGCGUUGUCCACUUCUCGUUCGGUACAAUUAGCCAGCUAGCUAAACUAGUUAGCGAUCUAGCAUAACAAUGCUAGCUCUAUUAACUAGCUAGCAUAGCUACCUGCCAAACCCGUCGGUAGGGCACAUUCCACUUGCAAUUUCAAAUAAACAGCUGUGCAACCGCGUUUGUUUUGGCUGAAGUGCAAACAUCUGCACGCACUGUAAUCAGCGGACGUAUACUUCCAAACUCGAGCUGGCUAGUACCAGUAACUAGCUAGCUCAUCGGUUAGCCAACUAACCAGCAUAAACCUUUCUUGCUAAAUACAUUUCCAUCUUAGGCUCACAAAAUGUUACAUUUACUCAUGACCCGUCGUCAAUAACGUAUCUGUCAUCUCCCUGUUCAAAGUCCACCAUAAUCAUAACCAUAUUUACACGCCAGCCACCAUAACGGUUUCGGUUUGGUCACAUGAUCUUCUCCUCCAAUGAAUCACGUCUGUCCGCAUCACGAGAGUCAACGUAUGUAAAUUCAACCGGUUUAAAAUUAAUUUCCUUAAUUGAAGUCAAUGCAGUUGGAAAAAAUCU